AUGCUCGCUUCGGCAGCACGUAUACUAAAAUUGGAAUGAUACAGAUAAGAUUAGCAUGGCCCCUACGCAAGGAUGACAUGCUAAUUCAUGAAGCGUUCCAUUUAAAA
rnacentral:snRNA from 1 species